AAGAGCUGUUGAUCUUCCAAAAGCAAUCUUAAGGGCUUUGAUGGAUCAUUUUGGUUGUAAAUGUUUGUGAACAUUUACAUUAUUUCAUUCUUGAUAUUUAAUAUUAGAUUAAUUGAUGAGUUAUAAUUGUUAUUGAAUUAGGAGGAAUUAGAUGCUUUGUUUUCAUAGAAAAUGGUUUGUAGAACAGCAACUGUCAGAAGUGUUUUACACUAGAAAUAACUACACUAGAUCUUAUCCACUACAACAGCAGAAUUACUGAGCUUCCAUUUUCAGUGUCUGCCUGCUGAACACCUACAGAAGUGAAAUAUUCAACUCAACAGCUGAUGUGUGGAUAGACAGAAGCAUCAAAGAUCCUUUGUGCUGCUAUGAAUUUGGUCUGUGCUGGAUGUCUGCAUAAUGUGCUGGGAGAUCUUUGUGGUCAUGAGGAUGACUAGCAACAAGCAGGACUAGUCUGCAGCAAUUGGGGGCCCCUAUUCCUUGACAAGUAACAUUUUGUGUGAGGGGAGGCUCUGCCCACAUAUUAAGCAACAAACAGAUCAGAGUGUGAGCUGAAUCAAAGUCUUGCUUUUGAAUUUAAUGUUUAAGAACUAAUGUUUUCAUCAACUGACUGGACUUGUUUGUGCAGAUUUUCUAUUUGUAGUAUUGUGAAAAUAUUUUUAUUUGCAAUGGUAUUUCCAUUGGGAGAUGCCUUUGUCUUCAGAGUAACUUCCCUGAGAGCGGUUUCAAAAGUUAAUCUGUGGAGAAUACUGCAUCUUGUUUUGCAGUAUUCAGAUGCCCCUUUAGAAAGUAAAGAUGUUAUUCUUUUUUGGGUACUAUUAUCACCCUCAGUUGCCACCUCCUUAUUGUCUGAAAUGUGGGCAGAGCUCAAAGGUUUGGGGAAGUUGUCAUGGACUUCACUUUAAUUUAGUAAUCAAAUGAGAAAACUCUAGAUAAGACAUGAUAUGGCAACAUCACAGAAGCUGCUCUGUGGCAGGGUGGAGAAUAGCUACUGGCAAAGGAGGAAGAAAAAGGACAAUUUUUUUAGAGAAUGAGGCAAGGAAAAGUUUGCUUGAACAGCUGGGGUUGUUGAGCAUCAAGAUGACGGAAGGAUGUUAUGGAGGCAGAAGCAGGCGGAGGAGAGACAAAGCCAAAUCCUCAGCUAACAUUGCUGGGUAUUUUUAGGAGUGCUUCCUGAGAGUGCUUUCUGUAUAUAAACAGUCGAGGUUCCAGGAGGCAGUGGUGAGGGGGAGCAGUGUAACUCAAUGAUACUUGUACUGCAAAUAGUACCUUGCAAAGAGCAAACUGUUUGACUUUAUUAAACUGCAGCCUCCUGCAACAGAUCAAGGGUCUAGUUUCUAAGCAAAAUAAUUGUAGCCUAAAGAAAACUUAAAUGUUGAAAGUCCCAUAGGCCCUAGAUUCCUGUUUGACUUGGCUUCAGGAGCUGCACAUACCGUUUGAACCUUAGGCUACGAAGUAAAUUUGCAAAGCACAAGCUGUUUUGAAGCCCCUUUCCACAGUAACACAUAGCCUUGUUAUCAGAAAAAUACAGGAAAAAGACAAUGGGAGGAGGAUCAAGUCUGACAAGUGGGCUUGACAGUGCUUUGCAGUUCUGGCGGGGCUGGCAGGAGCUGGGCAGAUCUGGUCUAGGCAUCAGGGCAAUGCAGGAGACUGUCGCCUGGGCUUGCUGAGCAGUGCCAAGGUUAAAGUGGAAUUGGAGCCAUGGGCUAACUUGGAACAGGGCAGUGUAAUGCAGAACUGGGGUCUGCCUGACACUGCUUCCCUCCACCCUUGUUUACAGCUGUGGGGGAUUAUUUAGGGUGCUGUACGCAAAGAGCGGUCCUGUGUGUGCUGGAAGCCAAAGCUAUGGAUGAAGAUGUUCCCAUAGGAGAGCCAUCCUUGCUGCAGCAGCCCCAAAGCUACCUGUGCAUGGAGGAAUGGAUCAAUGCACCUGCGAGAAAAAGGCUGACACUCUUAGCUGUUGCCAAUACACAUGACACUGUGGCCCAGCAACUCAGCGUUAGUAGAGUAACAAGUGAUUAGAAGCAGAUAUGAACUUCUGACUACCAAAUGGACAGCCUCCCAUUAAGGCAGCUGAAGAAAAUGUCUUUUUAGCAUGGAAAUUUCUGAACAGCUCUUCACUGGAAAUCUUCACAAGUUUGAAACAAGAAGAGUCUCUUCUAUCAGCAAAGAUCUUUAGAAGGUGUCUCAGCAAAAACCUGGACAAGCCCCAAGUAUUGACCUUGGUCCUAAUCUGCAUGGUUCUCUAAUCACUUGUU